AUUGAACGCUGGCGGCAGGCCUAACACAUGCAAGUCGAGCGGAUGAAGGGAGCUUGCUCCUGGAUUCAGCGGCGGACGGGUGAGUAAUGCCUAGGAAUCUGCCUGGUAGUGGGGGAUAACGUCCGGAAACGGGCGCUAAUACCGCAUACGUCCUGAGGGAGAAAGUGGGGGAUCUUCGGACCUCACGCUAUCAGAUGAGCCUAGGUCGGAUUAGCUAGUUGGUGGGGUAAAGGCCUACCAAGGCGACGAUCCGUAACUGGUCUGAGAGGAUGAUCAGUCACACUGGAACUGAGACACGCUCCAGGCUCAUAAGGGAGGCAGCAGUGGGGAAUAUUAGACAAUGGGCGAAAGCCUGAUCCAGCCAUGCCGAGUGUGUGAAGAAGGUCUUCGGAUUAUAAAGCCCUUUCAGUUGGGAGGAAGGGCAGUAAGUUAAUACCUUGCUGUUUUGACGUUACCAACAGAAUAAGCACCGGCUAACUUCGUG
rnacentral:rRNA from 1 species